UACAGAGGGUGCAAGCGUUGUUCGGAAUUAUUGGCGUAAAGCGCGUGUAGGCGGCUUUGCAAGUCGGGUGUGAAAGCCCUCAGCUUAACUGAGGAAGUGCGCCCGAAACUGGCGAGCUUGAGUGCCGGAGAGGAUAGCGGAACACCCGGUGUAGAGGUGAAAUUCGUAGAUAUCGGGUAGAACACCAGUGGCGAAGGCGGCUAUCUGGACGGACACUGACGCUGAGACGCGAAAAGCGUGGGGAGCAACAGG
rnacentral:rRNA from 1 species